UAAUACGAAGGGGGCUAGCGUUGCUCGGAAUGACUGGGCGUAAAGGGCGCGUAGGCGGAUUGCUUUGUCGGGCGUGAAAUUCCAGGGCUUAACCUUGGGGCUGCGUUCGAGACGGGUGAUCUAGAGUUUGGAAGAGGGUCGUGGAAUUCCCAGUGUAGAGGUGAAAUUCGUAGAUAUUGGGAAGAACACCGGUGGCGAAGGCGGCGACCUGGUCCUUGACUGACGCUGAGGCGCGAAAGCGUGGGGAGCAAACAGGAUUAGAUACCCUGGUAGUCCACGCUGUAAACGAUGUGCGCUGGAUGUUGGGAAGCCUAGCUUUUCAGUGUCGUAGCUAACGCGGUAAGCGCACCGCCUGGGGAGUACGGCCGCAAGGUUG
rnacentral:rRNA from 1 species